GGGUCUGUAGCUCAGGUGGUUAGAGCACACCCCUGAUAAGGGUGAGGUCGGUGGUUCAAGUCCACUCAGACCCACCA
rnacentral:tRNA from 1 species